rnacentral:rRNA from 1 species
UACGAAGGGAGCUAGCGUUGUUCGGAAUUACUGGGCGUAAAGCGCGCGUAGGUGGUCAUGCAAGUCAGAGGUGAAAUCCCACGGCUCAACCGUGGAAUUGCCUUUGAAACUGCGUGGCUAGAGUUCGGAAGAGGAGAGUGGAAUUCCUAAUGUAGAGGUGAAAUUCGUAGAUAUUAGGAGGAACACCAGUGGCGAAGGCGGCUCUCUGGUCCGACACUGACACUGAGGCGCGAAAGCGUGGGUAGCAAACAGG